UUAAGUUAUUAAGGGCGCACGGUGGAUGCCUUGGCACUAGAAGCCGAUGAAGGACGUUACUAACGACGAUAUGCUUUGGGGAGCUGUAAGUAAGCUUUGAUCCAGAGAUUUCCGAAUGGGGAAACCCAGCAUGAGUUAUGUCAUGUUAUCGAUAUGUGAAUACAUAGCAUAUCAGAAGGCACACCCGGAGAACUGAAACAUCUUAGUACCCGGAGGAAGAGAAAGAAAAUUCGAUUCCCUUAGUAGCGGCGAGCGAAACGGGAAGAGCCCAAACCAACAAGCUUGCUUGUUGGGGUUGUAGGACACUCUAUACGGAGUUACAAAGGACGACAUUAGACGAAUCAUCUGGAAAGAUGAAUCAAAGAAGGUAAUAAUCCUGUAGUCGAAAAUGUUGUCUCUCUUGAGUGGAUCCUGAGUACGACGGAGCACGUGAAAUUCCGUCGGAAUCUGGGAGGACCAUCUCCUAAGGCUAAAUACUCUCUAGUGACCGAUAGUGAACCAGUACCGUGAGGGAAAGGUGAAAAGCACCCCGGAAGGGGAGUGAAAUAGAACCUGAAACCGUGUGCUUACAAGUAGUCAGAGCCCGUUAAUGGGUGAUGGCGUGCCUUUUGUAGAAUGAACCGGCGAGUUACGAUUUGAUGCAAGGUUAAGCAGUAAAUGUGGAGCCGUAGCGAAAGCGAGUCUGAAUAGGGCGUUUAGUAUUUGGUCGUAGACCCGAAACCAGGUGAUCUACCCUUGGUCAGGUUGAAGUUCAGGUAACACUGAAUGGAGGACCGAACCGACUUACGUUGAAAAGUGAGCGGAUGAACUGAGGGUAGCGGAGAAAUUCCAAUCGAACCUGGAGAUAGCUGGUUCUCUCCGAAAUAGCUUUAGGGCUAGCCUCAAGUGAUGAUUAUUGGAGGUAGAGCACUGUUUGGACGAGGGGCCCCUCUCGGGUUACCGAAUUCAGACAAACUCCGAAUGCCAAUUAAUUUAACUUGGGAGUCAGAACAUGGGUGAUAAGGUCCGUGUUCGAAAGGGAAACAGCCCAGACCACCAGCUAAGGUCCCAAAAUAUAUGUUAAGUGGAAAAGGAUGUGGCGUUGCCCAGACAACUAGGAUGUUGGCUUAGAAGCAGCCAUCAUUUAAAGAGUGCGUAAUAGCUCACUAGUCGAGUGACACUGCGCCGAAAAUGUACCGGGGCUAAACAUAUUACCGAAGCUGUGGAUUGUCCUUUGGACAAUGGUAGGAGAGCGUUCUAAGGGCGUUGAAGCAUGAUCGUAAGGACAUGUGGAGCGCUUAGAAGUGAGAAUGCCGGUGUGAGUAGCGAAAGACGGGUGAGAAUCCCGUCCACCGAUUGACUAAGGUUUCCAGAGGAAGGCUCGUCCGCUCUGGGUUAGUCGGGUCCUAAGCUGAGGCCGACAGGCGUAGGCGAUGGAUAACAGGUUGAUAUUCCUGUACCACCUAUAAUCGUUUUAAUCGAUGGGGGGACGCAGUAGGAUAGGCGAAGCGUGCGAUUGGAUUGCACGUCUAAGCAGUAAGGCUGAGUAUUAGGCAAAUCCGGUACUCGUUAAGGCUGAGCUGUGAUGGGGAGAAGACAUUGUGUCUUCGAGUCGUUGAUUUCACACUGCCGAGAAAAGCCUCUAGAUAGAAAAUAGGUGCCCGUACCGCAAACCGACACAGGUAGUCAAGAUGAGAAUUCUAAGGUGAGCGAGCGAACUCUCGUUAAGGAACUCGGCAAAAUGACCCCGUAACUUCGGGAGAAGGGGUGCUCUUUAGGGUUAACGCCCAGAAGAGCCGCAGUGAAUAGGCCCAAGCGACUGUUUAUCAAAAACACAGGUCUCUGCUAAACCGUAAGGUGAUGUAUAGGGGCUGACGCCUGCCCGGUGCUGGAAGGUUAAGAGGAGUGGUUAGCUUCUGCGAAGCUACGAAUCGAAGCCCCAGUAAACGGCGGCCGUAACUAUAACGGUCCUAAGGUAGCGAAAUUCCUUGUCGGGUAAGUUCCGACCCGCACGAAAGGCGUAACGAUUUGGGCACUGUCUCAACGAGAGACUCGGUGAAAUCAUAGUACCUGUGAAGAUGCAGGUUACCCGCGACAGGACGGAAAGACCCCGUGGAGCUUUACUGUAGCCUGAUAUUGAAAUUCGGCACAGCUUGUACAGGAUAGGUAGGAGCCUUUGAAACGUGAGCGCUAGCUUACGUGGAGGCGCUGGUGGGAUACUACCCUAGCUGUGUUGGCUUUCUAACCCGCACCACUUAUCGUGGUGGGAGACAGUGUCAGGCGGGCAGUUUGACUGGGGCGGUCGCCUCCUAAAAGGUAACGGAGGCGCUCAAAGGUUCCCUCAGAAUGGUUGGAAAUCAUUCAUAGAGUGUAAAGGCAUAAGGGAGCUUGACUGCGAGACCUACAAGUCGAGCAGGGUCGAAAGACGGACUUAGUGAUCCGGUGGUUCCGCAUGGAAGGGCCAUCGCUCAACGGAUAAAAGCUACCCCGGGGAUAACAGGCUUAUCUCCCCCAAGAGUUCACAUCGACGGGGAGGUUUGGCACCUCGAUGUCGGCUCAUCGCCUCCUGGGGGCUGUAGUCGUUCCCAAGGGUUGGGCUGUUCGCCCAUUAAAGCGGUACGCGAGCUGGGUUCAGAACGUCGUGAGACAGUUCGGUCCCUAUCCGUCGUGGGCGUAGGAAAUUUGAGAGGAGCUGUCCUUAGUACGAGAGGACCGGGAUGGACAUACCUCUGGUGUACCAGUUGUCGUGCCAACGGCAUAGCUGGGUAGCUAUGUGUGGACGGGAUAAGUACUGAAAGCAUCUAAGCAUGAAGCCCCCCUCAAGAUGAGAUUUCCCAACUUCGGUUAUAAGAUCCCUCAAAGAUGAUGAGGUUAAUAGGUUCGAGGUGGAAGCAUGGUGACAUGUGGAGCUGACGAAUACUAAUCGAUCGAAGACUUAAUCAA
rnacentral:rRNA from 1 species